rnacentral:lncRNA from 1 species
AUGUGGUGGGGUAAGGUGGGAGCAGGGGUAAAGGAGAGGGCUCUGUUCUUGGAGGGAGUGGAAAUUGGGGACCCAAGCUUACUGGCGAUGCGGUCCUCACGUGACCAGGAGCUGACGUGGGCAAAGGUACUUAAAGCCCUGACCGCCGUCCUCCGUCCUCCUCUGGGUACCAACUCUAUUGCGCUGCGCACUGCCGUGCGUUUAACCCAGGCGAGGAGGAGGAGGAGAAAAUUCCCCCAGAUCGGGCAGGCCCCGCACCCCACAUCCCGUCCUGUUUUGAGAAGAGGAGGGAAGAGAAAUAAACGUGGCAGCGCACAUAAGGCUCUCAGUCUCCAACGUCUGCUGUCUAUAUUCCUGCCCUUCAGUCUGUCCUUAGGAUGGAGCCCUAACUGAACUGAAGGAAGGAGAGAAAUCCCUGAAUCCUUGGAGGUCUGUCUGCCUUUUGGGCCGUGUACGACUACAGGCCUGGU